rnacentral:rRNA from 1 species
UCGUACUGGUAUUGUUGGUUUCUCCCUUCUGACGAACCAUGAUGUCAUUUAUUUGGUGUUGUGGGGAAUCAGGACUGUUACUUUGAAAAAAUUAGAGUGUUUAAAGCAGGCUCACGCUUGAAUACAUUAGCAUGGAAUAAUGAAAUAGGACGUUUGAUUCUAUUUUGUUGGUUUCUAGGAUCGACGUAAUGAUUAAUAGGGAUAGUUGGGGGCAUUAGUAUUCAAUUGUCAGAGGUGAAAUUCUUGGAUUUAUUGAAGACUAACUACUGCGAAAGCAUUUGCCAAGGAUGUUUUCAUUAAUCAAGAACGAAAGUUAGGGGAUCGAAGACGAUCAGAUACCGUCGUAGUCUUAACCAUAAACUAUGCCGACUAGGGAUCGGAUGAUGUUAAUUUUUUAAUGACUCAUUCGGCGCCUUACG